rnacentral:tRNA from 1 species
CGUGGUCGUGGCCGGGGCGAUGCUGCUUCUCGGGCUCGGGGUGUGGGCUGCCGGGCGCGGCCGGCGGCGCGGGUUCCUGUCGACCGUCGACCGCGU